UACAAAGAGAAGCGACCUCGCGAGAGCAAGCGGACCUCAUAAAGUGCGUCGUAGUCCGGAUUGGAGUCUGCAACUCGACUCCAUGAAGUCGGAAUCGCUAGUAAUCGUAGAUCAGAAUGCUACGGUGAAUACGUUCCCGGGCCUUGUACACACCGCCCGUCACACCAUGGGAGUGGGUUGCAAAAGAAGUAGGUAGCUUAACCUCCGGGAGGGCGCUUACCACUUUGUGAUUCAUGACUGGGGUGAAGUCGUAACAAGGUAACCAAGGGCGAAUUCUG
rnacentral:rRNA from 1 species